AUUGAACGCUGGCGGCAUGCCUUACACAUGCAAGUCGAACGGUAACGCGGGGCAACCUGGCGACGAGUGGCGAACGGGUGAGUAACGCAUCGGAACGUGCCCAAUAGUGGGGGAUAGCCCGGCGAAAGCCGGAUUAAUACCGCAUACGACCUACGGGUGAAAGCAGGGGAUCGCAAGACCUUGCGCUAAUGGAGCGGCCGAUGUCAGAUUAGGUUGUUGGUGGGGUAAAAGCCCACCAAGCCGACGAUCUGUAGCUGGUCUGAGAGGACGACCAGCCACACUGGGACUGAGACACGGCCCAGACUCCUACGGGAGGCAGCAGUGGGGAAUUUUGGACAAUGGGCGCAAGCCUGAUCCAGCCAUGCCGCGUGCGGGAUGAAGGCCUUCGGGUUGUAAACCGCUUUUGUUAGGGAAGAAAUCUUUUGAGCUAAUACCUCGGAAGGAUGACGGUACCUAAAGAAUAAGCACCGGCUAACUACGUGCCAGCAGCCGCGGUAACAC
rnacentral:rRNA from 1 species